rnacentral:rRNA from 1 species
AGAGUUUGAUCCUGGCUCAGGACGAACGCUGGCGGCGUGGAUUAGGCAUGCAAGUCGAACGCGAAUUGACUGCUUCGGCGGUCAUAGUAGAGUGGCGAACGGGUGAGUAACGCGUAGGUAAUCUACCUAUAAGAGGGGGAUAGCCUCGGGAAACCGGGGGUAAUACCGCAUGUGUCCGGCAUUAGCCGGAUAAAGAUGGCCUCUGAUUUAAGCUGUCGCUUAUAGAUGAGCCUGCGCCCUAUUAGUUAGUUGGUGAGGUAAGAGCUUACCAAGGCGAUGAUAGGUAGGCGGCCUUAACGGGUGGUCGCCCACACUGGGAUUGAGAUACGGCCCAGACUCCUACGGGAGGCAGCAGUCGAGAAUAGUCUACAAUGGGGGAAACCCUGAUAGUGCGACGCCGCGUGAACGAUGAAUCCUUUCGGGGUGUAAAGUUCUUUUCUGUGUGAGCAAUGCCGAUAAGAUAAAUAGUUUUAUUGGAGAGAUAUUAGCGCAGGAAUAAGCCACGGCUAACUCCGUGCCAGCAGCCGCGGUAACACGGGGGUGGCGAGCGUUGUCCGGAAUCACUAGGCGUAAAGGGCAAGUAGGCGGAGUAUUAAGUCAGAUGUUAAAGGCGUCGGCUCAACCGGCGUACGGCAUUUGAUACUGAUAUUCUAGAGUGAGGUAGAGGAAGACGGAAUUCCUGGUGUAGCGGUGGAAUGCGCAGAUAUCAGGAAGAACACCGAUGGCGAAGGCAGUCUUCUGGGCCUCAACUGACGCUCAAUUGCGAAGGUGUGGGUAUCGAACAGGAUUAGAUACCCUGGUAGUCCACACAGUAAACGAUAAACACUAGGUGUUGGGAUCGGAAACAAGGUUUCAGUGCCGCAGCUAACGCGAUAAGUGUUUCGCCUGGGGAGUACGAUCGCAAGGUUGAAACUCAAAGGAAUUGACGGGGCCCCGCACAAGCGGUGGAGCAUGUGGUUUAAUUCGAUGCAACGCGAAGAACCUUACCUGGGCUUGACAUCCUAGGAAUCUUUUAGAGAUAAGAGAGUGCCUUUCGAGGAACCUAGUGACAGGUGCUGCAUGGCUGUCGUCAGCUCGUGUCGUGAGAUGUUGGGUUAAGUCCCGCAACGAGCGCAACCCCUAUCUUUAGUUGCUAACGCGUAAUGGCGAGGACUCUAGAGAGACUGCCAGUGUAAUAAACUGGAGGAAGGUGGGGACGACGUCAAGUCAUCAUGGUCCUUAUGUCCAGGGCUACACACGUGCUACAAUGGUCGGUACAGAGGGAAGCGAGACAGUGAUGUGGAGCAAAUCUCAGAAAACCGAUCUCAGUUCGGAUUGGAGUCUGCAACUCGACUCCAUGAAGUUGGAAUCGCUAGUAAUCGCGCAUCAGCACGGCGCGGUGAAUAUGUUCCCGGGGCUUGUACACACCGCCCGUCAAGUCAGCCGAGUUGAUUGCACCCGAAGGAGGUGAGCUAACCGCAAGGAGGCAGCUUUCGAAGGUGUGAUUAGCGAGGGGGAC